GAGGAGUGCAGUGCUUAAUUUGUAAUGAAAGAGUGCCAGGGCUCAAGCAAUUUUUUUACAUUCAUAACUGAUGCAGGCAGCCCAGAGGUGCCGGGACUAUGAACGGCCAAACCUAGAGGUGCUGGGGCUCAGGGCUGGCAAGCCCUGGCA